rnacentral:rRNA from 1 species
UAGUUUGAUCCUGGCUCAGGAUGAACGCUAGCGGCAGGCUUAAUACAUGCAAGUCGAGGGGCAGCACAGAUAGCAAUAUUGGGUGGCGACCGGCAAACGGGUGCGGAACACGUACAGAACCUUCCUUUAAGUGGGGGAUAGCCCAGAGAAAUUUGGAUUAAUACCCCGUAACAUUAUUUAGUGGCAUCACUUAGUAAUUAUAGAUUUAUCGCUUAGAGAUGGCUGUGCGGCUGAUUAGGUAGUUGGUGCGGGUAACGGCCCACCAAGCCUUCGAUCAGUAACUGGUGUGAGAGCACGACCAGUCACACGGGCACUGAGACACGGGCCCGACUCCUACGGGAGGCAGCAGUAAGGAAUAUUGGUCAAUGGACGCAAGUCUGAACCAGCCAUGCCGCGUGAAGGAUGAAGGUCCUCUGGAUUGUAAACUUCUUUUAUCUGGGACGAAACCCUCGUUUUCUAACGGGAUUGACGGUACCAGAGGAAUAAGCACCGGCUAACUCCGUGCCAGCAGCCGCGGUAAUACGGAGGGUGCAAGCGUUAUCCGGAUUCACUGGGUUUAAAGGGUGCGUAGGUGGGUCUGUAAGUCAGUGGUGAAAUCUCCGUGCUUAACAUGGAAACUGCCAUUGAUACUACUGGUCUUGAAUUUUCUGGAGGUAAGCGGAAUAUGUCAUGUAGCGGUGAAAUGCUUAGAUAUGACAUAGAACACCCAUUGCGAAGGCAGCUUACUACGGGAACAUUGA